rnacentral:rRNA from 1 species
UACGGAGGGAGCUAGCGUUGUUCGGAAUUAUGCUAGGGCGUAAAGCGCAGCGUAGGCGGAUGUGUCAGUCAGGGGUGAAAUCCCGGACGCUCGAACUUCGGAACUGCCUUUGAUACAGCACGUCUUGAGUCCGGAUAGAGGUGGGUGGAAUUCCUAGUGUAGAGGUGAAAUUCGUAGAUAUUAGGAAGAACACCGGUGGCGAAGGCGGCCACUGGAUCGGUACUGACGCUGAGGUGCGAAAGCGUGGGGAGCAAACAGG